AAAUUAUUUUUGACUAAAAGGGACACUAAAUCCUCUACUCUGUAGAUACUGUACCAAAAAUAUCUUCCUGUUGAUAGUUUACCAGAAAAACAAGGUCUCUACCAUUCGACACAUUUCAAACUGCAUCAGCCCUGACUUUUUUCGAUUUAUUUUUAAUUUUAAUUGAUUAGAAACGUGAGUUUUGUUUUGCCUUCAAUUGGAAUUUGGCCAGAACAUUUUUAGAAUCAUUGAGUUUCUUGUUGAUUUACCUUAUCUCAUCCCUCUGUUGUUUCGUUUUCUCGUUCCUUUUCCCCACUACAUUUUAGCAAAUGACUUUUUUGGCAAGAGCUUAAAUUUUUUUUUUGUAUCAACUAUUUUUAAUCCAAACUGUAGGCGGCUGUGAAAAGGGAAAAUUGAGAUAUAGAGAUACAAUGAACGUAUGAAUCAAAUGGAAUUAGCCUUCUUUCCCUGUUCCUGUCGCAUGUCAUUUAUGUUAAGUUUCAAAGUUCUCACUUGGGUAUAAAGUUUUUAUUUUGUAUACUGGAAAAUGGAGACGAUAACAUUUUUUUGCUUGGCACCUGAUUUCUUUACUUUGAAAAUGCUUUCACCCUGUGGACUAAAAUGGAACAAGUCAGUCUUCUUUUUAUUUUUUGGAUAUAUGUAUGUAUGUACAUUUUUUUCUGUCCACGCUUUCCCGUGACAUCUUUCGCUCCAAAUCGAAAACAAAAAUUUAAAAAUUUAACAAAUGUUGCCCAUCGCAGCAGUCCUUGUGAUUGCCUUCUUGGGCGCCUUACAAAUAUUUGUAGUUCAGUCCCAGAUCAGAUUGUGUAGCGUAUAAAUUCCUAUAUUUUAAUCAAAAUUUUUUUUAUUCCGUUCUAAUUGGCUAAAUUUCUAUUGUGUUAAGUUUUCGGCAGUACCGAGUCAUUUUCUAUUUUAUUAUAAAAAGAAAAGUGCAACUUAAAAUAAAAAUAAAAAUAUUCAUACGUGAAAAUAAAGUACAAUAGACAAUAGACAAGAAUACAAGUAUUGAAAUUCAUUCGAAAGAAGCAUCCAAAUGUCAGCAGAAAGUAAAAUAGAAAUGGCUAACGAACUGCAUGACAAUGUCAAAUUUCGAAAGCAACAAACAAUAAAUUUUCACGAAAAUUGACAACAUCAAAUUGAUGGGUCCACAACCGACAACAUUUGAAGGGACAUCGAAUGAAACAGCGAGC